rnacentral:rRNA from 1 species
GAGCCGACCUUGAAAUACCACCCUUUAAUGUUUGAUGUUCUAACGUUGGCCCCUAAUCGGGGUUGCGGACAGUGUCUGGUGGGUAGUUUGACUGGGGCGGUCUCCUCCUAAAGAGUAACGGAGGAGCACGAAGGUUGGCUAAUCCUGGUCGGACAUCAGGAGGUUAGUGCAAUGGCAUAAGCCAGCUUGACUGCGAGCGUGACGGCGCGAGCAGGUGCGAAAGCAGGUCAUAGUGAUCCGGUGGUUCUGAAUGGAAGGGCCAUCGCUCAACGGAUAAAAGGUACUCCGGGGAUAACAGGCUGAUACCGCCCAAGAGUUCAUAUCGACGGCGGUGUUUGGCACCUCGAUGUCGGCUCAUCACAUCCUGGGGCUGAAGUAGGUCCCAAGGGUAUGGCUGUUCGCCAUUUAAAGUGGUACGCGAGCUGGGUUUAGAACGUCGUGAGACAGUUCGGUCCCUAUCUGCCGUGGGCGCUGGAGAACUGAGGGGGGCUGCUCCUAGUACGAGAGGACCGGAGUGGACGCAUCACUGGUGUUCGGGUUGUCAUGCCAAUGGCACUGCCCGGUAGCUAAAUGCGGAAGAGAUAAGUGCUGAAAGCAUCUAAGCACGAAACUUGCCCCGAGAUGAGUUCUCCCUGAGACUUAGAGUCUCCUGAAGGAACGUUGAAGACGACGACGUUGAUAGGCCGGGUGUGUAAGCGCAGCGAUGCGUUGAGCUAACCGGUACUAAUGAACCGUGAGG